rnacentral:lncRNA from 1 species
CAGAAUAUUCUCAUCUGCCUUCUGGGGCUCUGCCUGCUACCUGGAUGCCUGGGUGGUCUCAGCAAAGGUUCAGCANGCCAGCGAACCAUGUGGAGUUCAUUGGGCUCCUCAGAAGACCAGAGCCUCCCUGUGCCUACUGGCUCCCCAUCUCUGCCUCAGAGCAGCUGAAUGAAUUUCCUUUGCACCCCAUUUCAGUGCAGCCUUCUGU